UAUGUCAAUGAUGCUUUACCUACAUUGUAUGAGUAAUUAUGAUCACAAAUCAUAACUCCCUGAGACAUUG